rnacentral:lncRNA from 1 species
GGCCCGCUGCUCCCCCGGGAGCCCUGGGGCCCUACCCACCCAGCUCCUCCUGCUGGAGGAGACUGCUUUCCGCUCAGGGAGUGGUGGGACCACCCUGGAGGCCUGGGGGUGCGGACAGCAGGGUUGUUCCAGCCGUGCAGAUGGGAGGAGCUUGCCCACUGUUCCCAGCCCUCAGGUGGUGUCUGGCUGCACAUGGCUUGUUGAUGGGAAAGCUUCCAUUUUCCAGGGUGUGGAAUGGAGGCCCAGAGAAGGCUAGCAGCUGCUCAAAGCCACACAGCAAGUCCUGAGCAGACGCUCCUCCCAGUUUCCCUGGAACUCUCCCACCUCUGCUGUGCACGCAUGCACACGCACACACACGCAGGUUUUUUGUGACAUUGCCCCUGCCUGUCUCUCCAGCCACAUGGCCCACUCUUUCCCCUCCCUCUGCUCUGACCCUAGCAGGCAGUUUCAAACCCAUGACCUUUGCCUGGGGCUCCCCUUCUGCCAGGAACGCCCUCUCUCGCUGCCCUGUGCCCAGCCUCCUGGUAACCUUGUCAUUUUUCAAAACCGCGCUCAGGUGUCCUCACCUCCAGGCAGCCUUCCGGAGUUGCCCCUUCUCUUCCCACCUACCUGGGAAAUUUGAUCGCCCCUUCUGCCGGGCAAGUCUGUGCUUUGCCAACACAUCCACCCCUUCUUAAAUCACACUGCCUUUUCAUUCUACCUCUGGCCUGCUGUCCCCCCAGCUCCCGACACUGGACCCGACCCAUACUGGAAACGUGUGAUGAAUUGAGCCAGCCCUCAUGCCCACUCCUCCCUCCCCAGGGCCAGCUGUUACUGUGAGCUACUAGGAAUGGAUCAGAAGCACCAACCCCACUGCAUUUCAGCCUAGAGGUCAAGAACACAGGCCUUUGGGGUCGGAAAGACCUGGGUUUGAAUCCCAGCCCUGCCACUUUCUUGCUGUGUGAUCUUGAUUCGAUAUUUGAAACUUACAGAAGAGUAGCAACAAAGUACGAAGAACUUCCUUAUGCCUUCACCCUAAGUCACCCAUCAUUUAUAUUUUGCCCCAUUUGCUUUAUCCUCCCCUCCCCCGCCCCUCCCUGGCUCUCUCUCUCUGCGCAUCUUUUCUGGAACCCCUCCCAUUUUGCAUAUGGGAAAACCACGACCCAAGGAGUCGCCCCGGCCCCUUGGCGCAACAUCAGAGGCCCGGACCCUGAGGUCCAUCGGCUUGUCGAGGGCCUACGGAGACAUCUGAAACCUGAAAUUACAGGCAGACCGACCCCAGAACACCAACGGGCAACUCAAAAAUCAAAAUUAAUAAAUGUCUGAUUGAAUGUCUACAAUUCAUUAGCGA